UAGGGAAUCUUCGGCAAUGGGGGCAACCCUGACCGAGCAACGCCGCGUGAGUGAAGAAGGUUUUCGGAUCGUAAAGCUCUGUUGCAAGUCAAGAACGGGUGUGAGAGUGGAAAGUUCACACUGUGACGGUAGCUUACCAGAAAGGGACGGCUAACUACGUGCCAGCAGCCGCGGUAAUACGUAGGUCCCCGAGCGUUGUCCGGAUUUAUUGGGCGUAAAGCGAGCGCAGGCGGUUUGAUAAGUCUGAAGUUAAAGGGCUGUGGCUCAACCAUAGUUCGCUUUGGAAACUGUCAAACUUGAGUGCAGAAGGGGAGAGUGGAAUUCCAUGUGUAGCGGUGAAAUGCGUAGAUAUAUGGAGGAACACCGGUGGCGAAAAGCGGCUCUCUGGUCUGUAACUGACGCUGAGGCUCGAAAGCGUGGGGAGCGAACAGGAUUAGAUACCCUGGUAGUCCACGCCGUAAACGAUGAGUGCUAGGUGUUGGAUCCUUUCCGGGAUUCAGUGCCGCAGCUAACGCAUUAAGCACUCCGCCUGGG
rnacentral:rRNA from 1 species